rnacentral:rRNA from 1 species
GAUUAAGUUAUUAAGGGCGCACGGUGGAUGCCUUGGCACUAGAAGCCGAUGAAGGACGUUACUAACGACGAUAUGCUUUGGGGAGCUGUAAGUAAGCUUUGAUCCAGAGAUUUCCGAAUGGGGAAACCCAGCAUGAGUUAUGUCAUGUUAUCGAUAUGUGAAUACAUAGCAUAUCAGAAGGCACACCCGGAGAACUGAAACAUCUUAGUACCCGGAGGAAGAGAAAGAAAAUUCGAUUCCCUUAGUAGCGGCGAGCGAAACGGGAAGAGCCCAAACCAACAAGCUUGCUUGUUGGGGUUGUAGGACACUCUAUACGGAGUUACAAAGGACGACAUUAGACGAAUCAUCUGGAAAGAUGAAUCAAAGAAGGUAAUAAUCCUGUAGUCGAAAAUGUUGUCUCUCUUGAGUGGAUCCUGAGUACGACGGAGCACGUGAAAUUCCGUCGGAAUCUGGGAGGACCAUCUCCUAAGGCUAAAUACUCUCUAGUGACCGAUAGUGAACCAGUACCGUGAGGGAAAGGUGAAAAGCACCCCGGAAGGGGAGUGAAAUAGAACCUGAAACCGUGUGCUUACAAGUAGUCAGAGCCCGUUAAUGGGUGAUGGCGUGCCUUUUGUAGAAUGAACCGGCGAGUUACGAUUUGAUGCAAGGUUAAGCAGUAAAUGUGGAGCCGUAGCGAAAGCGAGUCUGAAUAGGGCGUUUAGUAUUUGGUCGUAGACCCGAAACCAGGUGAUCUACCCUUGGUCAGGUUGAAGUUCAGGUAACACUGAAUGGAGGACCGAACCGACUUACGUUGAAAAGUGAGCGGAUGAACUGAGGGUAGCGGAGAAAUUCCAAUCGAACCUGGAGAUAGCUGGUUCUCUCCGAAAUAGCUUUAGGGCUAGCCUCAAGUGAUGAUUAUUGGAGGUAGAGCACUGUUUGGACGAGGGGCCCCUCUCGGGUUACCGAAUUCAGACAAACUCCGAAUGCCAAUUAAUUUAACUUGGGAGUCAGAACAUGGGUGAUAAGGUCCGUGUUCGAAAGGGAAACAGCCCAGACCACCAGCUAAGGUCCCAAAAUAUAUGUUAAGUGGAAAAGGAUGUGGCGUUGCCCAGACAACUAGGAUGUUGGCUUAGAAGCAGCCAUCAUUUAAAGAGUGCGUAAUAGCUCACUAGUCGAGUGACACUGCGCCGAAAAUGUACCGGGGCUAAACAUAUUACCGAAGCUGUGGAUUGUCCUUUGGACAAUGGUAGGAGAGCGUUCUAAGGGCGUUGAAGCAUGAUCGUAAGGACAUGUGGAGCGCUUAGAAGUGAGAAUGCCGGUGUGAGUAGCGAAAGACGGGUGAGAAUCCCGUCCACCGAUUGACUAAGGUUUCCAGAGGAAGGCUCGUCCGCUCUGGGUUAGUCGGGUCCUAAGCUGAGGCCGACAGGCGUAGGCGAUGGAUAACAGGUUGAUAUUCCUGUACCACCUAUAAUCGUUUUAAUCGAUGGGGGGACGCAGUAGGAUAGGCGAAGCGUGCGAUUGGAUUGCACGUCUAAGCAGUAAGGCUGAGUAUUAGGCAAAUCCGGUACUCGUUAA